AUAUCUACCUGGCGUCGGGAUACCGUGAUCAUGCAGGCGAUCCCCCUGGGGUGCGGCUGCUCCAUUGCACAGCGGAGUGGUUGACCCUUGAGAUUAUGUUUAUAUUUAUAAGUUUUACUUCUCCCGUGUGUGACACAUU
rnacentral:snRNA from 9 species